UAAAUUGAACAUACUCAUUUAUAGAGGAAGAUGUGAAAGUGCGGUGUGUGAAGUGAGAAAGAUGGAGUUUUCAUUGUUCAUUCUUGAUGGCUUCACAUGUACUUUUCCCCCUCACUACUUCAUAUCCUCUCUCCUUUUGUUUAUAUUUAUAUUUGUAUUAGUUUCUAUAUUGGAGACGAAUCUGACUUCAAAUCGAGAUAUAUAUUCUAAACUUCUAUGUUUUUCUUAUAAUUUAUCAUACUGUUUAUUUUGCAUAUACCCC
rnacentral:lncRNA from 1 species